GGAAGUAGCCCCGGCCGGCCCCGCCCACGCCGCCGAAACCAACACAACACUGAGCCCAGCGCUUGAGCCGGCGCGGGUGGACGGUGGCGCUGCCCGGCCGCGGGGCUACUCAGAGCUGGCGCGGUGGCCGCCUCUGCUUCCAGGCGGAGGCACCGAGGCCGGCAAGGGGCCAGCGAAGUCACCGCUGGUGUAUCCCCGCAGGAACCACGCCGGUCACAUGACAGCCUCGUAGCUGCAGAAUCCCCACCACUGCUGCCCCCGUUGGACUGGGAGGGAAAGCCCUGCACUGCUCACCGGCGCAGCCUGGGGCCUCCAGACACCAGGCCCAUGACAACUGGGCCAGAAACGCCAGCGCUGCGUGUGGGCCCAGAGCGACCGGAGCCCAGGAGCCCAGGAGACGGGGCGGCUGCUUCUCCCACAGGCUGUGGAAACGCCCUCCCCGCACGCCCAGCAGGACAGGAGGGUUAGGGACGCUUCUGGCCGUAACAAGGAAGCCCGAACGCUCGGGGUCCCCACCCAAGGCCAGGACUGAUCUCCACAGACGCCCUGGGGCUCAGUGGCGCUCCUGGCCUUCCGCCCAACCCUGGCAGCAGGCACAGGAAAGGGCAAAGCCCUGCAGGUCCGCAUGGGACCCAGCUGCGCACCUAUCAGAAAUGAGAACGCCACGGUGGUGGCUGACAGCCCGGGCCUCAGGGCCGCGUGCCCGCUAA